AGGGGGAGUGCGGAUCCUGGGCUGUGUCCCCCGGUACCCUGGGCUCCAGGGCCUGCACCGAUGGAAUCGCGCUCCCGGAGCCCCACAGCCCCCU
rnacentral:pre_miRNA from 1 species